GUAUAGUGUGCGCACGGGUGAGUAACACGUAGGCAAUUUGCCUUCAGGACGGGGACAACUCCGCGAAAGCGGAGCUAAUACCCGAUAAUGCAGCGGCACCGCAUGGUGAUGUUUGUUAAAGGUCCGCAAGGGUGCCUGGAGAUGAGCCUGCGUCCAUUAGGUAGUUGGUGAGGUAACGGCCACCAAGCCCGCGAUGGGUAGCUGGUCUGAGAGGAUGAUCAGCCACACUGGAACUGAGACACGGUCCAGACUCCUACGGGAGGCAGCAGUGAGGAAUAUUGCGCAAUGGCCGAAAGGCUGACGCAGCAGACGCCGCGUGAACGGAUGAAGUCCGUCAGGAUGUAAACUUCUUUUGCAGGGGGAUGAAUGUGCGCCUUUGGCGCAUUGACCGUACCCUGCGAAUCANAGUGAUCGGCUAACUACGUGCCAGNCAGCCGCGGUAAUACGUAGGAUCCGAGCGUUGUCCGGAAUUACUGGGUGUAAA
rnacentral:rRNA from 1 species